rnacentral:rRNA from 1 species
UACCAGACUCCUACGGGAGGCAGCAGUGGGGAAUAUUGCACAAUGGGGGGAACCCUGAUGCAGCGACGCCGCGUGAGUGAAGAAGUAUUUCGGUAUGUAAAGCUCUAUCAGCAGGGAAGAAAAUGACGGUACCUGACUAAGAAGCCCCGGCUAACUACGUGCCAGCAGCCGCGGUAAUACGUAGGGGGCAAGCGUUAUCCGGAUUUACUGGGUGUAAAGGGAGCGUAGACGGUUAUGCAAGUCUGGAGUGAAAGCCCGGGGCCCAACCCCGGGACUGCUCUGGGAACUGUGCGGCUGGAGUGCGGGAGGGGCAGGCGGAAUUCCUGGUGUAGCGGUGAAAUGCGUAGAUAUCAGGAGGAACACCGGCGGCGAAGGCGGCCUGCUGGACGACAACUGACGGUGAGGCGCGAAAGCGUGGGGAGCAAACAGGAUUAGAUACCCUGGUAC